UUGAACGCUGGCGGCAGGCCUAACACAUGCAAGUCGAGCGGUAGCACAGAGAGCUUGCUCUCGGGUGACGAGCGGCGGACGGGUGAGUAAUGUCUGGGAAACUGCCUGAUGGAGGGGGAUAACUACUGGAAACGGUAGCUAAUACCGCAUAACGUCGCAAGACCAAAGUGGGGGACCUUCGGGCCUCAUGCCAUCAGAUGUGCCCAGAUGGGAUUAGCUAGUAGGUGGGGUAACGGCUCACCUAGGCGACGAUCCCUAGCUGGUCUGAGAGGAUGACCAGCCACACUGGAACUGAGACACGGUCCAGACUCCUACGGGAGGCAGCAGUGGGGAAUAUUGCACAAUGGGCGCAAGCCUGAUGCAGCCAUGCCGCGUGUGUGAAGAAGGCCUUCGGGUUGUAAAGCACUUUCAGCGGGGAGGAAGGCGAUAAGGUUAAUAACCUUGUCGAUUGACGUUACCCGCAGAAGAAGCACCGGCUAACUCCGUGCCAGCGGCCGCGGUAAUACGGAGGGUGCAAGCGUUAAUCGGAAUUACUGGGCGUAAAGCGCACGCAGGCGGUCUGUCAAGUCGGAUGUGAAAUCCCCGGGCUCAACCUGGGAACUGCAUUCGAAACUGGCAGGCUAGAGUCUUGUAGAGGGGGGUAGAAUUCCAGGUGUAGCGGUGAAAUGCGUAGAGAUCUGGAGGAAUACCGGUGGCGAAGGCGGCCCCCUGGACAAAGACUGACGCUCAGGUGCGAAAGCGUGGGGAGCAAACAGGAUUAGAUACCCUGGUAGUCCACGCCGUAAACGAUGUCGAUUUGGAGGUUGUGCCCUUGAGGCGUGGCUUCCGGAGCUAACGCGUUAAAUCGACCGCCUGGGGAGUACGGCCGCAAGGUUAAAACUCAAAUGAAUUGACGGGGGCCCGCACAAGCGGUGGAGCAUGUGGUUUAAUUCGAUGCAACGCGAAGAACCUUACCUGGUCUUGACAUCCACAGAACUUUCCAGAGAUGGAUUGGUGCCUUCGGGAACUGUGAGACAGGUGCUGCAUGGCUGUCGUCAGCUCGUGUUGUGAAAUGUUGGGUUAAGUCCCGCAACGAGCGCAACCCUUAUCCUUUGUUGCCAGCGGUUAGGCCGGGAACUCAAAGGAGACUGCCAGUGAUAAACUGGAGGAAGGUGGGGAUGACGUCAAGUCAUCAUGGCCCUUACGACCAGGGCUACACACGUGCUACAAUGGCAUAUACAAAGAGAAGCGACCUCGCGAGAGCAAGCGGACCUCAUAAAGUAUGUCGUAGUCCGGAUUGGAGUCUGCAACUCGACUCCAUGAAGUCGGAAUCGCUAGUAAUCGUAGAUCAGAAUGCUACGGUGAAUACGUUCCCGGGCCUUGUACACACCGCCCGUCACACCAUGGGAGUGGGUUGCAAAAGAAGUAGGUAGCUUAACCUUCGGGAGGGCGCUUACCACUUUGUGAUUCAUGACUGGGGUG
rnacentral:rRNA from 1 species